GGUUGUAUGGUGUAGCGGUAGCACAUUGGAUUCUGAUUGCCUUUCUAUAAGUUUAUCAGGACUUUUCCAACGACCCCGGUUCGAUCCCGGGUACGACCU